UCAGCUUUCUCUGCUGAAAUAAUGUUGCCAAAUCAAGUGUCAUCUAGAAAGAGGAAUGCCAAGGGUGCUUUUUACAUGAACUCCAAAAUAGCCAUUGGAAAGUUCAAGCCAGAUCUUUUACAGCAAACUGAAAAUAAAGUAGCAUACUUGUGUGACAGGAAACAAGGAAUAUGUAUGGCUGGACUGAGAAUCUAACCGGGGAUCCCUGCAUCAUUAGUCAGAUCUUAUGGAAAUAUACGAUCCUUGGCUAAUCAAGUGUCAUCUGC